UAAGACGUAUCGUGCAAAGACCCUGUCCUGCAAUGGCUCCACGGAACCACCGGACUGUUAAUUGUAUCGUAAGCCGUUAAUUAGAUCGUUAAACAACCGCGACGUUGAUAAAUAACAUUCUGCCUUGAACGACGAUCAGACGAGUUCUUGUUCCUUGUAUGAAUUAUUCGGAGACGAUCUCGUUAUCUUCAGGAUCUCUCGCGAAAUUUCUGUAUGCCAGCUUUUUUUUUUACUUUGGCAUUGAAAUGUUUAGCAGGUGAAACGCGAAAUCUUGAAAUAUUCCUGCACGAACGUAGUUCGAAGCGGCUUUUUAUCUAUCGUUUAAACGGUAUUUUCUUCCGAUAGCUUUGGCGAAAUUCUUGACACCGGUGAUCUCUCGAUAAUAGUACAGUUGGGAUGUAGCAACCGCGGCAAACGAAUGGAACAAAUCGAAGGCCGGCUUAUCGUGCAAAGAUAUAGGUACUCGGUCGUAUUUACCGUAGGUACGUGGCGUCGACGGAUUUCGCGACUCGGAUAACUCGCAUAACUCGGAUAAGCGAUUUGCUCGAGCUGGAAACGUUGCUUUCGCCGUUCGUCUGGUUGCUACGGUGCUCUGAAAACCGAGCAAAAUAGAGUAAUGAUAAAGCAAAUUGAAUGUUAGAAAGUAGGAAGGCUACGUGUAUCGUUGAAUCUAGUGUUCGAUAGCGAAGCAGAAACGAACCGCCAAGUUUCGCAGACUGCUGGCUGGCGACACGUGCACGUCAUUAUUCCGCAACGAGGAAACAGCGAUCAAGAAAAACGAUCCAUCGGUGAUCGAUGACUCGAUAACUACGAUCGAUGCUACGAACUACGGUCUGCAGCGUGAUCUCGUUUACCGACCGACCGACAAUAUGGAAUCCCUCGAAUCGAUAAAACCAUUUUAUUACCGUUCUGCUACGGUCGUCUAACGUUACCUGUAUUACGCGUUCUCCGAAAUUCACUCGACGAUACAUGUAUUUCUAGACAGCUAUUUACAAAGAAUUUAUAAAAACCAACUUUUUCCUCUUGCAACUUUUCCAAACUUUUGCCUCUUUAUAUUCUUUCCUCGUAGGUAAGGAACUCCACCGCCUCUUCGAAUCAUGUAAUCGAUAUUAUCAUUUUUCGAGACGUCUAGUAACCGACCGAGAGGAUCUUGGCGCGGACAUUUUCUUUGGUUAUCUAGCUGUAUGAGUAUUAUUCGACAUCAUAAAGCUAGGUUACCGGAGUUAAGCUCCUCGCCAUAUCAACUCCAGCGAUCUUCCCCCGAGUAUUUCAGCGCUGUCGCUACAACCACCGGUACGACGUGUUUCGAAAGUUCCAUACUUCGAAACGAGCUACUGUUCGUAGCCGUGAACCAGAUUCUACGUGGUUUAUCCGUGAAAUCGAUUUAUGUAAUGCUCUUAUCGUUUUCCCUGACAUUCCGAUGCGAAUAAAAUAUUCCUAUUUAACUCUGUAAGACCGACGUUACGUAAAAAGAAUAAAAAUAAAUUAUUUCGUUAA